UAAAGGCCCGCGGCGAUGAAGCAGUUGUAGCUGACUUGCUCGUAAAGGUUGUAUAUGUUCUGGGGGCCAUUCCUGGGGGAGUCAGACAUUGAGAGCAGUUAACACCUGCCGAGCGCUCUGUGCCCGGCGGCGGUCUAGGCGCUGUCACGUGGAUGACUUUAUUCCGUCUCCCUGACCAUCCCAUGGGGUUGAGAUCUGUCAUAGCUGCCGUUUUGCAGAGGUGGACUGAGACGGACGGAAAAGUACGAUACCUAAAGACGCCACACCUAGAGUGGUGGGUUUGGGAUGGCCGCCGCGGUCUGACGCCCUGGCUCCUAACCACGUUCUCAAGAAAGCAGCUGUCCUCUCCCAGUUGUCUCCCCUAGGGGCCCAGAUCGUCCGGCCUCGCCUCCUCCCACCCGACUACUUACUCAAAAUCUUUCUCCGUGAAGGGAACGUCCUCAAUCAACACAGCGGAAUGGACAUUGAAAAAUAUUCCGAGCAUGAUCUGGAAAAGGGGGAGUGGGUAGGUUGUCGAAUUCAGGCACCUGCCCUCACGUUCGUUUCGUAAACCCCUCCCAUUUCUCAUGUUGCUACAACAGCCGAGCCUGAGACGAACCAAAACGAGGUGGUGGUUCCUGGAUUCGGACUCAGCCACCCGGAACAGGGCGUGAGGUGGUGACACGGAGACAAGGGUAGGAAUAGGGUGACCAAGCCAUCUCUCCCAGGAACCCAGCGGAUCGUCCUCCCUGGAGGCGCCAUCAUCACGGGACAGUGCGGAAGAGGGGAGGGAGGGCCGGCACUUCUACGAAUUCAUUUCUUCGUGAAGUGGCGGUGGGUGGAUUACUGGGGAAACAAGGCCCAACUACCCAUUUCUAAAACGAGCGCUCUCUUCCCCCCCCGCCCCGUCCUCCAUUCAACUCAAGCACCUCUCAGGAACCCCGCUCUUGUUUCUCCUGUCUUGAGGGGUCUCCACAUUUACCAGCCCCAGCCCCUCCCACUCCAGGGCCCUUGGCUCCAGUUCCCAUUUUCCGAUCUCUGUCUCUUCCUCCGGGGCCAGUUGAUCCCGGCUCCUUCGGCCUGCCUGCGGCCCAGAAGGUCCUAGCUCCCAGCCCGGAGCCCCUCAGGCCCUCUCGGAUCCUUGCCGGGGAGCCCCCUCACCAACAUGAUAACUCCCCAGGCGCUGAGGACGAUGCCGCAGGCGGCCAGCUUCGGCCCGCAGCACAGGAGCGACGCCAUGAAGAAGGGAGUCGGAGCUCGCCAAGGUGCAGGCGGUCUGGAACAGCGGUGGGAGAAAGCCCAGGAUGCGUUCGGCGGGCUGCAGAGGGGGCGUGGCCCCGGCCUCAACCAUCCCGCCCGGGGGUGGCAGUCGGACAAGGCUGGGCUCCUCUAGGGACUUUCAUGGGAGAUGGCGCCGGCUGAAACCGACACAGCUUCUGUGAAAACCCUUCUUGACCUCUGUAGCUGGGGCGUGAGUACUGGAAGAGCGAGGGCUCUUGGUCCCCGGUUUCUUGGUCCCCCUCCACCUGCGACCGGGAAUGGAAGGAGCUGGCGUGUCACGUGACCAAGUCUGGCAAGUCACGUGACGAGGAACUAGCACUAACCAGGCCUUGGGGGAAAAAUGCUAACUGGUGGAGCUCCUGGUAACUGGGGCGAUGGGGUCUUAGGAUCGGAGGAUUGGAACCGUCUGAUUUUUACGUCUGAUACUUUAGUCUCGGGUUCUCUCCUGUGUUGGGAAAAUGAGUCCCCUCUCACCAUGUCUGGCUGGCGGCGACCCAGAUGCCAUGUGAUGGUCAUUUGAAGACAGGCCUGCCGGACAUCAGGGAUUCUUUCUGUUGCAAGUCAUGAAAAGUCAACUAAAAAUGGCUUAUGAUAAAGAAAAGGAAGAUGUUGAUUGAUAAAAAUGGAAAAUCCAUGGUCACAGGCCUUCAGGACAUUGACAUUUUGGAGAGCCUAGGCUAGCUGUUUUGUACAACGUCUUUCAAAAUGGAUUUGCCUGAUCGUUUCCUCAUGAUUAGAUUCAGCUUAAACGUUUUUGGGCAAGACUACGCCAUAGGUGAUGUGUGGCCAGUCACUUCAGUGCUACUCUGAGACAAUUGCUGGCCAGCCGCCUGUGCGCCCUACCAUCCCAUCCCCACCUCCCAUCAUUUCCGUGGCCUGAAGUCUUCAGGAGGACAGCAAGUCUCUGGAUACUCUUAAAUAUUACUUGUCGGAAACAGAUGCUGGUGCCGCAAAGAAAAAUCAGCACUCAGACAAAGGAUCUCUCGGCAAAGCAAUUUUACUUCCCUCAGAAAGCGUGCUCCUGUUAGCCAUCUUGCCAUGAGAGUAAAAUGCACAAAGGAAAAGCAGACGUAUUUAUUCCUUACACAUCUGGAGUGGUCCUUCCUGCUGUGUCUGAUCUCUGCUGAGUGGAGCCAGGCCUCACUAUCUAAACUGAAACCUGAUGGGCUAACAACUUAAAACUUUUCUAAACAGGACAGGAAACUUUGAAGAGGAACUUUUCUUCUUCCCACAUUACUUGUGAGCUUUAAGUCACUCAAUGAUUUCGCUUAUGAUGGUGGUUAUCUUUAAACAUGUCAUGAUUUUUUUUCUUUAACCAUUUUUAGUGUGGACUACAUAAAACAUACA